GAUGAACGCUGGCGGCGUGCUUAACACAUGCAAGUCGAGCGAAGCAGUUAAGAAGAUUCUUCGGAUGAUUCUUAACUGACUGAGCGGCGGACGGGUGAGUAACGCGUGGGUGACCUGCCCCAUACCGGGGGAUAACAGCUGGAAACGGCUGCUAAUACCGCAUAAGCGCACAGAGCUGCAUGGCUCGGUGUGAAAAACUCCGGUGGUAUGGGAUGGGCCCGCGUCUGAUUAGGCAGUUGGCGGGGUAACGGCCCACCAAACCGACGAUCAGUAGCCGGCCUGAGAGGGCGACCGGCCACAUUGGGACUGAGACACGGCCCAAACUCCUACGGGAGGCAGCAGUGGGGAAUAUUGCACAAUGGGGGAAACCCUGAUGCAGCGACGCCGCGUGAGCGAAGAAGUAUUUCGGUAUGUAAAGCUCUAUCAGCAGGGAAGAUAA
rnacentral:rRNA from 1 species